rnacentral:lncRNA from 1 species
UUAAUUCCAUUUUAUUUCAAAAAUUCAUAUCUCUGUCAUUAUUGGUCCAAAAAUUAUGGGACCAAUUUCAUUCUUCUCCUUUUAAUUUCUACUUUAUAAAAAUGAUUUUUGAUAUUUUUUAUUUUAUCAUGUGAUAUUUAUUUGUAAUUUUCUCUUUUUUGGUUAUUUUUAAUUCAUUUUAAUUAGUUUUUGAUAUUCAAAAAAUACAAAAAUAUUUUUCCAACCUCUUUGAAU